GUCAGUUAAGUUUUUUCACAUAAGUGUUGCCGAAUCAGGCCCAAAUUGGAAAAAGCGCUGGCAACCGUCAUUAUAGUUACCGUAGUGCACAAAAACAUUUUUAUUUGAUACUGCUAACAAUGCCAAGGAGAAAACGACCUGACCUGACCGCACUGAUGACCAGCGAGAGGCUGAUAAUGAUAACAGUGGUAGAAGUAAGGUAGAUUUACGUUCCAGAGUAAAUAACAAUGAAGUGGAUAGGCAGAGAAUGGAACGAGUUCGUGCACAUCGAUCACAACAGCAGACAGCACGGAAAAAUGAAUUCGAUCGAUUCCGCAGACGCAAUGCCCCUGAAAACCUGGAACGAGUAGCAUUUUCCUAUAACGAUUGGAGACAUGUCAAUCAUUUGUCAACAUUGUAAAGCAUUAAAAUACAGCGGCGAAUCUGCAGGAUUGUGUUGUGCUGGUGGCAAAGUAAAAUUGCCGCAAUUGGUUCCACCACUUGAGGCGUUACAGUCAUAAGUAAAUGGGAUGGAUAGUUCAUGCCCACUUUCGUGCACUUUCAGGAUACAAGGACGAAAUUAUCACCUACUGGGGGCACUGAUGCCAGUGCCAGAUGCGGAUCAUCAAUUCUUACAAGUUUAUUUUAUGGGCAAUCAAGAUGGGGAAGUUGAUACACGUUGUGCUCAUAAUCCAACCGUCAAGAGAACCAUUGUCCAACAACUGCAAACCUUUCUUCAUAAUAAUAAUCAAUUAGUGAGAAUAUUUAAAAUGGCCCUGGAGCACAUGCCAUCAGACAGCCAUAAUAUUGUAAUAUGAGCCGAAAAAACACUGGAUCCGGGCCACUACCCGCCGGACUUCUCCUACUCCUACAGCUCGUACCCCGUCGACUCGCACGAGGUGCUCUCCCACAAGGGAUCGCCGGAACUGUCGCCCAAGGCGCUCCUGGCGAAGAGCUUCCUCAUUCCGCUGGCCAGCGCCACCGUUCUGGGCAUCGCCGCCGCCCUGAUCAGCAAUCCCCUCCUGCUCCAGCUGGCUCCCGUUCCCGUUCCCGGUAUCGGAGUGGGCGUCGGAGUCGGACCUCCAGUGGUGGGCAAGCGGAGGAGGAGAAGACGAGCUGCGAAGGCACCCCGGGAAACCUAGAUCAGUGAUCUGUGUCAAAUUCUCUCCACUUGGAAAGUUUAUCAAUCAGGAAGUA